rnacentral:rRNA from 1 species
CAGCCGUAAACUAUGCUCGCUAGGUGUCAGGCAUGGCGCGACCGUGUCUGGCGCCGCAGGGAAGCCGUGAAGCGAGCCACCUGGGAAGUACGGCCGCAAGGCUGAAACUUAAAGGAAUUGGCGGGGGAGGCACCACAACGGGUGGGAGCCUGCGGUUUAAUUUGGACUCAACGCCGGGAAGGCUCACCGGAUAAGACAGCGGAAUGAUUGCCGGGCUGAAGACUCUGCAUGACUAGCUGAGAGGAGGUGCAUGGCGUGU